GAUGAACGCUGACAGAAUGCUUAACACAUGCAAGUCAAGUGGCGGACGGGUGAGUAACGCGUAAAGAACUUGCCUCACAGCUAGGGACAACAUUUGGAAACGAAUGCUAAUACCUGAUACUGUGAGAGAGCUUUGCGUCCCAUUUGCUAGUUGGAGAGGUAACGGCUCACCAAGGCGAUGAUGGGUAGCCGGCCUGAGAGGGGGAUCGGCCACAAGGGGACUGAGACACGGCCCUUACUCCUACGGGAGGCAGCGGUGGGGAAUAUUGGACAAUGGACGCAGUCUGAACCAGCCAAGUAGCGUGCAGGAUGACGCCUAUUGGUUGUAAACUGCUUUUAUAUGGGGAUCAGUACCAUAUGAAUAAGGACCGGCUAAUUCCGUGCCAGCAGCCGCGGUAAUAC
rnacentral:rRNA from 1 species